UAGCAAUGAUGACAAACGGCAACGAUUCUCUCCGACCAAUCAGCAGGUUUUGGACGCCACCUUUUGGUACCGCCUGGACUGACGUGGUACUAAAUAAAGUUCCUGUAGCAGGAACCAGGGGCUUUCUUUUUGUAAUGUAAAACCCCAAAAUGCGAGUCGAGGAGGAACCAUGCUGUUGAAAAACACCAUUUAAUGCAUGAGUGAAAAAAGGGUGAAAUGGCUUGAAAUGUUAAAGAGACAUGUAGUCUCUCAUCUCCCUGAGGUCUGUCUUCUUUAGUCUUCUGUCUUCAUUGACUAAGUUUACAUGCACAUAAUAUUGCGUUUUUUGCCCUUAUUACGUAAAAGACACCAUUCUAACUAAGCUGUUUACAUGGCUAAUGAAAACUACUCUUCCCGUUUACGUGCAGAAUGCAAAUGUCCCCCGGUGGCGAGCUUGAUGGCGAGCGUGAACGCCGCCGCCUCCAUCUUUGAUUCCUUCAUCCGACUUCUUGAGGAGCUGUAAAUCUGUAGAUAUCCAAGUCUUUAAAAAAAAAAAUUUUUUAUCCUUUCAUGAGUUUCUCCUCCUCAUCUUUUGACCGUGCAUCUCUACCACAGCCCUGCAAACAGUUGGUUGGUUUGUGUACAGUAACCAUAACAACAUAGAGCUGACCGUAAGCCGGAAACGGGCAGGAGGCCGUAAAGUGUCACAAACUGUGGUUAAAAUCCACGAUUGACACAAAUAUCCUGAAUGCGCUGUGUACAAUGUCCAAAGAAUGCUUCUAAAAUCUAAAUAACACCAGAAUAUCAAACGUCUUUAUUUUGAAAAAUGCUCUAUUCAGAAAAAAGUCUUAUUCAGAAUAUCCAAAACCAAAUUUACAUGACCUGUAUCGUCAUAUUGGGAAUAAUCGUGCAAUAUUAGUGUGCAUGUAAAGCUACUCAGCUCCUCCUAACUGUAAUCUUUAUAACAGGAAUGAUGUGUUUUGAAGGUAUUAUUAUAUAAUAACGAGUGUAAAGUAUCCCGGACUCUGUAAAUAUGUAAAGAAACUACGUGGAACAUCUUUUGUGCAAAUACAUUUGUAACAUUUUUCCGAACAGCGUGGCGGUUUUCUUCCCUUUCGCUGCAGCUGGAUUUGGAGAUCGGAUCACAUGUUACACCAAAAUCCGCCUCGUCAGGUUGGUUGUUCCCAUGACGAGCUUGUUCGACCAAUCAGAAACUCGGAUUAAGCAAACGGGAAAUUUGAA